AGAAGGUGCAAGAAAUAAAUGC
rnacentral:snRNA from 1 species